UAAAUAAAUGUCAAUGACGAGUAUCCGCCCUUAUAGUAAUUAUACAAAGUAGUGUCACUGCCUUAAAAACUUUCUGUGAUGAAGACUUCUUCCAAAUGUUUAACUGGGAAAAAUGUUGGGGUGAACAAAUGUGAAACUCUUGAUUCUAGUUUGAGGCCCUUCUUCACGUGCACAACUGCUACGGGAGCCUCUGGACCUGAACCACGAGCAGUAGGGAUAAGCUCUGACAGAGCUUCCUGAAGAAGAUAUCUUGGCUGCCUUGUUCCCGCCAGUCCCCACAAGCCCUGCUGCACUUGCACUGUGGGAAUCCUUCCAGCACCUGUUUCAGGAGACUCUCCAGGCCAAUCCUAGGCACUGGAGACUGCAUAGGUGCUGAAGGAACAGAGAGGCAGCCUUCCCAUGGGCAGCCCCAGGAUUGUAACUCAGUGCUCUGAGGCUGGAGCAUGGUAGGGAUACAGGUGCAGCCGGUAGAUACAUGCUAGGGUCAGGAGCUUUAAGUAAGAGGUGUUGUUGCACCAGAGUAACUAUCAGAGGAUGGGAAAGAUGCCUUAGUUUUAAUCUAAUAUCCCUUUUCUGGGUCAGAAUCCCAUCCAGGCUGCCUCAUUAUGUUUAGUCAUCAUGUCUCCUUAGGCUCCUUUAGAGGAAUAUGUACCAUUUUCUCAGAUUUUCCUUGUUUUGAUGACCUUGACAGUUUUGAAUUAUACUAGUCAGGUAUUUUGUAGAAUUUCUCUCAACUGGGUUCUGUGUGAUUUUUAUUUUUUAUCAUGAUAAAACAGACAUUGUGAAUUUUAGGGAGGAGGAUCACAAAGGUAGAGUUCUAAACUCCUUAUCCUAUCAGGAAUACAUUCUAUGAGUAUGACUUAUCAAUGUUGCUGGUAGCCUCGAUCCUCUGGUCCAGGCCAUGUUUUGUAAAGUAUAAAGAACUAAGAGAACACAGCAAAUGUUCACAACUCAAGACUCACACCUACCAACUAUGUAAAAUACGCCAAUCUCCAGAUUCUGUCUCAGGAACAUAUUCUGUCCUGCUGAGAAUGGUGCUAAGGAAAGAAAGAAGCCGUGUGCCCUCAGGAACCAGUGGAGACUAAUAUCCCUGACAUUUGUUCCUCAAGACAUGAUUUUUCUCAGGUGAGGAGAGAAGCUAGACGGGCUGACACUUCUCCACGCGGAAACACUUGGAGAAGAAAAUAACGGCUCUACGCUAACAUUUUAUUUCAAUUUAUAAAUAAAAUGCCUUGGAC